UUGGGUCUACGGGAGGCAGCAGUGGGGAAUACUGCACAAUGGGGGGAACCCUGAUGCAGCAAUGCCGCGUGGGUGAAGAAGCACUCCGGUGCGUAAAGCCCUGUCAGCAGGGAAGAAAAUGACAGUACCUGGACAAGAAGCCCCGGUUAACUACGUGCCAGCAGCCGCGGUAAUACGUAGGGGGCAAGCGUUAUCCGGAUUUACUGGGUGUAAAGGGAGCGCAGGCGGCGUGGCAAGUCAGAUGUGAAAACCCGGGGCCCAACCCCGGGAGUGCAUUUGAAACUGCCAUGCUGGAGUGCCGGAGG
rnacentral:rRNA from 1 species